UCCUAAGUAAUCUAGUUGCCUAGAUAUCUGGCUUUCACUCAGAAGGCUCGGGUUCGAUUCCUGACGUGGGAA